UGCUGAUGUGCAAAUCGCUCGGAAGAGUUGGGUAUAGGGGUGAAAGUCCAAUCGAGAUGGGCAAUAGCAGGUUCCGCGCGAGACUACUCGUAGGUAGACCUCCGUAGAGAUAGAAUGCGAGGUAGAGCACUGAUUGGGUGUUUAGGGGGAGCAAUCCCUCGGCACGCUGUCAAACUCCAAAGUUGCAUUCAUCGUAGAAGCGGGGAGUGAGCCACGGUGGGUAAGCUACAGUGACGAAAGGUGAAGAAACCAGCUCAGCGUUAAGGUCCCAAAAUUUCAGUUAAGUGUUAAUCACAAACGGCGUCCGUGGUCGAAGACAACCAGAAGGUGGGCUUAGAGGCAGCCAUCCUUGAAAGAGUUCGUAACAGAUCACUGGUCAAGCUUGCGGGCCCGAAAAAUGGACGGGACUCAAACUGAAUACCGAUACGUUGACCCUCCGAAAGGAGAUGGGGUAGCGCGGCGACAUGGUCGGGUAGAAGCUAGGUCGUGAGAUCUAGUGGACCGUCUAUGUAUGAGAAUCCAGGGAAGAGUAGCAGCAUAGUGCGGUGAGAAUCCGCACCACCGAAGGGGCCAGGGUUCCUCGGCAAUGUUCAUCAGCCGAGGGUUAGCCGGUCCUAAGGUCAAUCUUAACCGACUUGAUCGAAAGGGAAUUGCGUUAAUAUUCGUAAGCCUCUCUGCAAUAAUGGUAACGGCUAAGGCUAGUUCGUGCACUUCAGUCAUGGAGUGUCGAAGCGUUCGAUAAUCGUGUGGAGAACCGUCAUGGUGAGAAACACGAGAAGGCGUGAGUGAAAGACGGAUGAGGCCUUGGUCCCAUGAAAAACCGCAGAAGAUGACCGUACCGAGAACUGACACAGGUACCCAAGGUGAGUAGCCUAAGGUGUGACGGGUAAAGUACCGCGAAGGAACUCGGCAAAAUAGCUCUGUAACUUCGGGAGAAGGAGUGCCAGCUUAGAGAUAAGCUGGUCGCAGUAACAAGGGGACUCCGACUGUUUAAUAAAAACAUAGCCGACUGCUAGUUCGAAAGGAUGCGUAUAGUCGGUGAAUCCUGCUCAGUGCCGGUAUCUGAAAUUGGGUUUCAACCUGACGAAGGACCGGUAAACAGCGGGGGUAACUAUGACCCUCUUAAGGUAGCGUAAUACCUUGUCGCUUAAUUGGCGACUUGCAUGAAUGGCCCAACGAGAGUCCUACUGUCUCCGCGGUACGUCCGGCGAAAUUGACAUUACUGGCGCACAGUCCAGUAACCUCAACCUGCAAGCGAAGACCCCGUAGAGCUUUACUGCAGCCUGGCGUUGUACAUUCGCACACUUUGUGCUGAGUAGACGGGAGAUGUUGAUCCUCGGGACGUUAGUCCCGAGAGUAGUCGUCCAUAGAGACACCGUCCUUAAUGUGUGACUGUACUAACUCUUCAUGAGAACACCGCUUGGUGGGCAGUUUGGGUGGGGCGCCACGCGCCCGAAAACCUAACAGGCGUGCCCAAAGGUCAGCUUAGGUGGUUCAGUCUCCACCGUAAACCGUAAGGGGAAAAGCUGGCUUGACGUGGAUCGGAUCAAUAACGAUCGACGAUGCGAAAGCAGGGCCUAACGAACCAAUGUGCCUCAUUUCUGGGGGCCAUUGAUAACAGAAAAGUUACCUCGGGGAUAAUUGAGUU
rnacentral:rRNA from 1 species